CGGACGGGUGAGUAAUGCUUGGGAAUCUGGCUUAUGGAGGGGGAUAACUACGGGAAACUGUAGCUAAUACCGCGUAAUAUCGAAAGAUUAAAGUGUGGGACCUUCGGGCCACAUGCCAUAGGAUGAGCCCAAGUGGGAUUAGGUAGUUGGUGAGGUAAAGGCUCACCAAGCCGACGAUCUCUAGCUGGUCUGAGAGGAUGACCAGCCACACUGGGACUGAGACACGGCCCAG
rnacentral:rRNA from 1 species